rnacentral:tRNA from 1 species
GGGCCGAGCUGGAUUUGAACCAGCGUAAACAUAUCGUCAACGAAUUUACAGUCCGUCCCCAUUAACCGCUCGGGCAUCGACCCA